UCCACUUGCCAUCAGGCCCACGGAGGCCGGCCCUGGGCGCUCAUCUCGCCUUUAGGACCCCGGGUGAAUCUCUCCUCCGGAGCCUCGUGUCAGAGUCAUGCUUGGCCUGAACGAGCGAGUCACCCACAAAACCCUGGGCCUGAGAGAGGGCAGCCCUGGCCUGGCCUUGGCAGAGAGGAGAAGUCCCGGCCACACCUCUGUGGUGACCAUUCUCCACCCAUCCACCGAGCUUCACUUCCUCAAAGCCUCUCCCCACCACGGACACAGGCCUCGGGGGUCUCUCUGCUCUCUCCUGGCUCCAGUCAACAACUGGGGAGAAAGAUGAACCGUGUGCUUCGCAGACGGUGGCUUCGGAAUGCUCCUGGGCUGCCUCAAACAAUGUGGCUUCUCUAUGUCCUGCCAGGAAAGCAGCAGGCAUUUCAGGAGGAGGCUGGUGUGUCCUUAGCUUCUUGUGUUGAGCAGCACAAAGAAUAGAAAAUGAAAGCAUUCUCGCCUCCCACUUCCCCCCACACAGCUGGGGACCAAGGGUGGCUCCCCUGUGUACACACGACAGCCCAUUAGACAAACCCUUUUCUGCGCAUAAGCAACUUUAGUGCCAGGGUUCACCUGGAUGCCCAGAAUGCUACUUACCAAGUCUUUCAGAGUCCCACAUGAUGUUUUACAACUAUCGCUCUACCUGUGUCUGCUUUGGUGAAUUUUAUGAUACAGAAAAAAUGCUUUAUUAGCCUAGUUUAAUCUCAUCAUGAGAGGAUUAAAAAAUAAAAAUCCCAAACCAAAAAA